UAGCACAUUCUGCUAGGAUUUGACACUUGUCAAAGAAGUUGGACUGAACACAACAAUCCUAUGCUCACUGGGUUGGAAUGUUUAUUGAAUCAAUAGGGCCUACAUCUGAGCAGAGAGGUAUAAGUGCCUGAUAAACUGAACAGUUUAAUUGGAUUCUCUUAAUUUUUAAUCUGUACAUGGAUAUUCACAGUAAAGUUACCUACAUCUUUACUUGUACUUCUCUUCCAGUACAAAUAUAUGAAGAAGGACACUGAUCCUCAUGUUGUGAUAGAAGGAAAAGAGACUGAUGACUGGCUAUGCAUUGAUUUUGGCAACAUUGUAGUCCAUUUCAUGUUGCCAGAGACACGUGAAAUCUACGAGUUGGAAAAGUUGUGGACACUCCGCUCUAAUGAUGAUCAGUUGGCACAGAUGGCUACAGAAUCUUUACCUGAUGACUUUGUGUUUGGGCUAGAUUCUAAACAGCAGUGAUUUAACCUCGCAUCUAAAGACUGGAAAGAGCUUUGCACAUAUGAUACAGUUAAUUACAACGGUCAACUGAGUCACGAAGCCAAUUCUUGGAAAGGGAAAAAUGAAACUGAGCACAUCAAGCUGCCACUACCGAGUGUCAGCAUUAUGGAGUAUCGAUAAGUAUAGAACUUACCAAUGGGAAGUCAGUUGUGGCCCAUGGGAAGACAGUGGCUCUUUUUGUUGCAGUAGUGAAGCUCUAUCAUUAUGUGGACAAUUGCUGUUUGAAAUAAUUCCUGUCAAAGCGUGUGUCUUUUUGACAGUAGCUUCUUGUGGCGUUGGUUACUGUGCCACUUAUGUUGUUAGCAAGUUGAAUAAAGCUGUUUUGAAAUGUU